GGAAUAUUGCACAAUGGGCGCAAGCCUGAUGCAGCGACGCCGCGUGGGCGAAGAAGGUUUUCGGAUCGUAAAGCCCUUUUCUGCGUGACGAUGAUGUCGGUAGCGCAGGAAGAAGUGUCGGCUAACUACGUGCCAGCAGCCGCGGUAAAACGUAGGACGCGAACGUUAUCCGGAAUUACUGGGCGUAAAGGGCGCGCAGGCGGUCGGGUAAGUUAGGCAUGAAAGCUCCCUGGCUAAACCGGGAGAGGCUGUCUGAUACUGCCGGACUGGAGUGUGGUAGAGGGGUGUAGAAUUCUGCGUGUAGUGGUGAAAUGCGUAGAUAUGCGGAGGAAUACCAGUGGCGAAGGCGGCUCUCUGGACCGGCACUGACGCUGAGGCGCGAAAGCUAGGGGAGCAAA
rnacentral:rRNA from 1 species